rnacentral:rRNA from 1 species
UUGACCUCGGAUCAGGUAGGAAUACCCGCUGAACUUAAGCAUAUCAUAGCAUCGGAGGAA